rnacentral:rRNA from 1 species
AACGAACGCUGGCGGCAUGCCUAACACAUGCAAGUCGAACGAGACCUUCGGGUCUAGUGGCGCACGGGUGCGUAACGCGUGGGAACCUGCCGUUAGGUUCGGAAUAACUCAGAGAAAUUUGAGCUAAUACCGGAUGAUGUCUUCGGACCAAAGAUAUAUCGCGUUUAGAUGGGCAGGCGUUGGUUUAGCUAGUUGGGGGGGUAAAGGCCUACCAAGGCGUCGAUCCCUAGCUGGUCUGAGAGGAUGAUCAGCCACACUGGGACUGAGACACGGCCCAGACUCUUACGGGAUGCAGCAGUGGGGAAUAUUGGAAUACGGCGUAAGUCCUGAUCCAGCUAUGCCGCGUGAGUGAUGAAGGCCUUAGGGUUGUGAAGCUCUUUUACCCGAGAUGAUAAUGACAGUACCGGGAGAAUAAGCUCCGGCUAACUCCGUG